UUCGAGACCAGAACCUUAAUCUGGCGCCUUGGACCGCUCGGCCAUCUCGCCUAGCCACAGUGACGCAAUGUUAUCAUUUUUUCAUUUCUACUUUCUCAGAUUCAAUGUUUCAUCUUAUUUUAUUGAUUUUCACUGUGAUUGACGCUAUUUCUAUUGAUUGAUUUAUUUGAAGGGUUUUUUGAUUCUAAGCUGAAAUUUUAUUUUAUUAGACAGAGCGAAGCGAAGUCUAAGAAUCAUAAGGGGACAAAAGUUACUUCAUUUUAUAGCUGAAAUGAUUGGAUGUCAAUCUUUGCAACAAUGUGGGUUAAAAUUCAAUGAUAUUAGUGAUGUAGAGC
rnacentral:sRNA from 2 species